rnacentral:lncRNA from 1 species
GGACAAGACGGCUGGAGCUAGCGGCAGCGACGGCAAAGCCCUGGCUCCCAGGACUGAGAUCAUAGAAAUGAAUGAUGAAUUAAGAAGCAGGCAAGAAAUUGUGAAUGAAUUGAACAUACUUUUGGAAGAAAAUGAGACUUAAUAUGAGAAUUAAGAAGUUUGGUACAAUUACAAAUGAAGAAUUCAGAAAAUCACCAGGAAACUCUUGAAGGAGAAAGAAACCCUGGCUAUAAAUUAUGAGAAGAAAGAAUUUCUCACUAAUGGACUUUCCAGAAAAAUGGUUAUAUUCAUAGCAUGAGAAAGCCAAACUAGAACAGCAUCUUGAAGAGGAGCAGGAAUUCCAGGUCAACAAACUAAUGAAGAAAACUUAAAAACUGGAGAAUGUUAACCAUUUCUAAACAGCUUACAUUACAUUAAGUUUGUUGGGGGGAUUAAUCUUCUGUCUGCCUGCUUUCAUACUCUGUGCGUAUUAAGAUUCUUUCAUCCCUCUGAUGCCAAGUCACUCAAGUAUGGACUGCACAGAAGAAAUAAGUUUACAUGGUAACCCAGUACGCUGAUGUUUUUGUAACUGUAUGACUGCAACAAGUUUCAUGAAACAAUGCUAAAAACAGACAAAACCACGCACUCUGGGACCAGGAGUGAGAGGAGGUAUCUGAGGGAACUGUUUAGAUGAUGAGAAUGCUCUGUAUCUUCAUUGUGGUAGUAGUUAUGCAGUUAUAUAUCUUUUUCAAAACUCAUCAAAUUAGGGGACUCCAUCCCACAUUUUAUAUGGACACUCAGGUAGCCCAAUAGUGAGGUUAGGAAGUAAGGCCCGUCGCCAAUAGCCAGCAAGUAACUGAGGACUUCUGCCAAGAGCCAAGUGAGUGAGCUAUCUUAAAAGUAAAUCCAGGAGUUUCUGUCAUGGCUCAGUGGUUAACGAAUCCGACUAGGAACCAUGAGGUUGUGGAUUCGAUCCCUGGCCUCUCUCAGUGGGUUGAGGAUCUGGCAUUGCCAUGAGCUGUGGUGUAUGUCGCAGAAGUGGCUCGGAUCUGGCGUUGCUGUGGCUCUGGCAUAGGCUGGUGGCUACAGCUCCGAUUGGACCCCUAGCCUGUGAACCUCCACAUGCUGUAGGUGCAGCACUAGAAAAGACAGAAAACCCAAAAAAAAAAAAAAAAAAAAGUAAAUCCUCCAGCCCCACUCAACCCUUCAGAUUAUUCUAGACCUAGGAUGACAAUUUAAUUGGAACUUGUAAGAGAUUUGGAGCCAACUAAACCACUCUCAAAUUCCUAUUCAUAGACAUCAAUAAUAAAUCUCUGUUCUCUGAAGCCAAAAAAAUUAAAAAAACACAAACCAUACACUUCAUAUGGAUGUGUUUUGUUUUAUUUAAGUUACACCUCAAUAAGUAAAUUUUUUAAAUUGUUUGAGGGUCUUCAACUAAUGCAAUGUCAACGUGAAAUGACAUUGAAAAUUAUAGGAGUUCCUGUCUUGGCAGUGGUUAACAAAUCCGACUAGGAACCAUGAGGCUGAGGGUUUGAUCCCUGGCCUUGCUUAGUGGGUUAUGGAUCCGGCGUUGCCGUGAGCUGUGGUGUAGGUUGCAGACGUGGCUCGGAUCCCGCGUUGCUGUGGCUCUGGCGCACGCUGGUGGCUGCGGCUCCGAUCAGACCCUAGCCUGGGAACCUCCAUAUGCUGUGGGAGCAGCCCUAAAAAAAAAAAAAAAAAAAAGUGAAGAUUAUAUAUCAGUAUCCAAAUAUGUUUUCACUGUUUUAAGUACUUCCCUAGAGUCCUUUACACUGUAGGUAGGGCCAUUAGUAAUCUGCACCCCUUUCACGAGGAGACUGUUUAUUCUGAAGUUAUACCUGAGCAAUAUAUAUUUAGGGUACACAUUAGGUGACAACCAUUCUAAGAAUAUGUCUGAUUGCCCGGUAGAAGAGUCGGGAUUUCUAAACCCUUUGCUUUGGGUGGGACCAAGAUUUAAAUAUGCUGUAGUUACUACCUUCCACUUUCCAAAAUAGAGAUGAAGGCAGUACAAUGAUAUAAUGUAAUAAGUUUGGACUCAAUUAUCAGGAAGCCUAGGGUUUAGUCUCCACUUAGGCAUUAACUCACAAAAUGAUCAUGAAGAAAUUAGUCAGACUUCUCUGGAUCCCAGUUUCCUCCUUUAUAAAAAUGAAGUUACUGGACUAGAAGGUCCUAUAAUUUUUAAAAUUUAUGAUUCUAUGAACUGGGAAACUUAAAGGAUGAUGAGACAAUAUGUAGCUUUAGAAAGAUGCUGAUUUUAUAUGAUGGUUUUAGGUGCCAUGAAUCUUCAAAGAUAGUUCAGAGUGAUGCUUUUGUAAAUAUCUGAAUUUUAAAAGAAGCAUUUAAAAGAGAUACUGAUAUAGCAACCUGAAGCAUUAUAGCACUGUGGCACAAAAAAAGUAAAAUGUAUUUUAAGAUAAUUAUCUUGAACAUCCUGUUUCUUUUUUUAGCUACUAAAAUCUUUUCAAUUCCAAAAUUCUGUAAUAAUCUGAAUUUCUCUCUCUUAUUACUAGAUUUUUAGUCAUGGGAAAUGGGUGCGUAUACCCUCCCAUUGUCAGGUAGUUAUUUCUUUCUUAAAUCCUCAAAUAAGGAAUUUUAAAUGAAUGCUUUUAAGCUUUUGCAGAGGUUUUCAUUUCUAGGUCUUGCAUAUCAUACCAGAAAGCUAGUUUGCUCUGUAAGUUAAUUACAUAAGUGUAGUAAUCAUUGAUCAGCACACAUAAACAUUAAAGUACAGUUCAUUAAUUUUCUAACUGUGCUUUCUUAUAUUGACAUUAGCCAUUCCUAGUGCAGAUUUUAUGUCAUUUAUACCUAAAAUCAAAUCUCAACUUUGUCACUUAUCAGCUAUAUACGAGUUACUCAAACUUUCUGAAUCUGGUUUCUUUCUUUUUAAAAAAAAAAUGAAUGAUAAUGCCUAUCUCAUGAAAUUGCUGAUUGAUUAAGGAUUAAGUUAGCAAGCAUAACAAAAGCACUAGGAUUAAGAAAAUUUUUCUUUUAUUCCCCAAAGUUAGCAAAUAUAACAAUGCAUUGGUUGAAUUUUUGUUUUGCCACAUACAAUGAACUAGUAACAGAUAAAAAGAUUAUCCCUUAAGUUCUCUUCAACCCAUCUGCAUAUGCUUUGGCUUGAUGUAUGACUAUUUUUGUAUAUUUUGCACUUCGCUGCCUCUGACAUUUUUAAACAUAGAUUGUUAAGUAUUCAAGUAUUUUUAUAAGUAUACAAUUUUUUAAACUAUUUUACUAGUGCUUAAAUCAUUUCAGUUUAACAUUACUUAGAGUUUAAAAGUAUAAAAUAUUUUAUGAAAAUGUGUUGUGGAACUUUGCAGCCAGACAGUAGUAGUUUUGAAUCCUCAAACUAGAUAUGUGAAUUUGGGUUACUUGUAUAAUCCCUGAGCCUAAAUUCCCCAAGAAAUUAAAUGGUGAUAAUGAUUAAGCACUUAGCUUGGUACCUGGAACAUAUUAAGCACUCAAGAAAUGUUAUUUAUAAAACAUCAUUAUCAUUACUAAAUGACAAUUAUAGAUUUAACUUUAUGCGGGUUAAUUUAGCUGACCAUUGGUGAUUUCUGAUUCUAACUAGAGUUUCAACUUUGUGUGAAUAAUGAAUAUGUUACUAUUACUCAAAAAUGCAUACUUUGUUGGUGGUGGACUAUCUUUAUUAAACAUGGAAAUUUGAAACAAUGUUUAUUUUGCUGAGAUUCUUGAUUAGGAAAUUUACUAAAUCAUCACUGGUAAUUGGUAAAAUGCUGUCACGAAUUUUAAUUCUAAUUUUUUAUUCAGUAAAAUGUAUCAUUUUUUUUCUUUUUGGUAUACUUUCAGUGUUAGGCUUAGAAAGAAUUUCUUCACCCCAGUAUUAUGUAUUUGUUUAUAUUUUUGCUAGUUCUUUUAUGGUUUUAUUUCUACAUUUAAUUCUUUAAUCUGUUAGUAAAUGUUUUAGGUACUUUGAAAGCCAGAUCUUCCAAGUUGGCACAUAUAUCUGUAGGUAAACUGAAUGACUGUUACCUACAUUUCACUGUCCUUAAAUAUUUCCCUAAUAACCCUUCCAAGACCUAAAAGUCAAAUGUUAUAGAAUCAUCUUAUCUUAGUCUUUCAGUUAUUAUUAUUAUUAUUGUCUUUUGUCAUUUUCUAGGGCCACACCCACAGCACAUGGAGAUUCCCAGGCUAGGGGUCGAAUCAGAGCUGUAGCUGCCUGCCUAUACCACAGCCACAGCAACACAAGAUCCAAUUACACCACAGCUCACGGCAACACUGGGUCCUUAACCCACUAAGCAAGGCCAGGGAUCAAACC